CGUAUCUCCGGCCACCGACCACGGCUGUGGACGGGGCCGGUACCAAAACGACCGGGACGACGUCCUCUUCCUUCCCCGACCGUUCCCCGUCGGCGACGCGGCCUGUGCUGGCCGGAAAAUGCAGAAAAUCGUCGGGAGGUCACCGAAACUUCAACGCCAUCGAUCUCCCUCCUCCGGCCACCAUUUCCGUCGACCCAGGCACCCGGGACCAGGCAGGCCCGCAGGAGAGACCUUCAGGAGGUCUAGCUAGCUCGGACCAGGAGCUGUAGCGUGCACAGGAAAUCCACCACCGGGCCAUCUUGCCUUCCGGGCCUCCUUGUUACAGAAGUGUUGGUUUGUAAAAAGUUUCACUUCUCUGUAAACUAUUAGGAUUGCUCUGAUAUAUUGCCCUAGAGUGAGAUUGGAACUUUUGGCAUGUAUAUUGAAGUGCUGGCAGUUGGUUGUAUGGAUAUUUUGCUCGUUCUGACAGGUGGAAAUUUUGGGAUUGAGCAAAUUACAGGGGAGAUUCUGCCGAAUUUUCGGCAGGAGUCAA